AACGAACGCUGGCGGCAUGCCUAACACAUGCAAGUCGAACGAAGCCUUCGGGCUUAGUGGCGCACGGGUGCGUAACGCGUGGGAAUCUGCCCUCGGGUUCGGAAUAACAGUUAGAAAUGACUGCUAAUACCGGAUGAUGUCUUCGGACCAAAGAUUUAUCGCCCAAGGAUGAGCCCGCGUCGGAUUAGCUAGUUGGUGAGGUAAAGGCUCACCAAGGCGACGAUCCGUAGCUGGUCUGAGAGGAUGAUCAGCCACACUGGGACUGAGACACGGCCCAGACUCCUACGGGAGGCAGCAGUGGGAAAUAUUGGACAAUGGGCGAAAGCCUGAUCCAGCAAUGCCGCGUGAGUGAUGAAGGCCUUAGGGUUGUAAAGCUCUUUUACCCGGGAUGAUAAUGACAGUACCGGGAGAAUAAGCCCCGGCUAACUCCGUGCCAGCAGCCGCAGUAAUAC
rnacentral:rRNA from 1 species